rnacentral:rRNA from 1 species
GAGGAAUGUAUAGCAAUAGCUACUUGCAUCAUUGUAGAUAUGAUGUAAGAUCGACUAUGUUGAAUAAAAUUCUAGGUAGAAUUAUGAUAAUGACAUUGUCUGCCUAUGUGUCUUGACCAAAUUACGUGCCAGCAGUCGCGGUAAUACGUAGAAGACUAGUGUUAUUCAUGUUUAAUCGGUUUAAAGGGUACCUAGACGGUAGAUCAAGCUUUCUAAUAAAUGAAAAGGACUAAUUUACUAGAGUUACUUAUGAGGGGGUAUUAAAGUACUGCUGGUGUAGAGAUGAAAUUCUGUCAUACCUCUUUUCAAAAGAAAAACCAUGGCACAGGUAUAGGCGAAGGCAUCCCCUUAUGUGAUAACUGACGUUGAGGGACGAAGGCUUUGUGUAGCGAACAGGAUUAGAUACCCCAGUAGUCGAAGCAGAAAAUGAUGAAUGUCAUAGAUUAGAUGUAUAAGUUUAUUCUAUAAAUGAAAGUGUAAGCAUUCCACCUCAUGAGUAAUUUGGCAACAUUGGAACUGAAAUCAUUAGACCGUUUCUGAAACCAGUAGUGAAGUAUGUUGUUUAAUUUGAUGAUCCGCAAAAAACCUUACCACAAUUUGAAUAUUUAUAUUUUUUUUAUUGUUUUUUUCUUAAGAGAUAAAUAAUUAAACAAAAAAAUCAAAAAAGGAAGAAAAUUAAGAAAGAGGCAAUAAGAUAUAUUUACAAGCGUUGCACGGCUGUCUUCAGUUAAUGUCGCGAGACUUUGGUUAGUUCCAUUAAAUUAACGUAAACCCUUACUUUAUUUUUAUAUAGAGUAGUUCCCCGCUAUAUUGGAUAUGAU